rnacentral:tRNA from 2 species
GGGCGCAUAGCUCAGUUGGUCAGAGCGCACCCCUGAUAAGGGUGAGGUCCCAGGUUCGAAUCCUGGUGCGCCCA